rnacentral:tRNA from 1 species
GGGGAUGUAGCUCAGACUGGGACUGCAAUAUAGUAAUAAUCUAGUUGUCCUGGGUUCAAAUCCCAGCAUCCCCA